rnacentral:sRNA from 1 species
GCUGCUGCAUUUGCGCACGCCCGUGAACCUGAGCGCGACUCCGCGGCCCGUGUGCCUACCCCACCCGGAACACUACUUCCUGCCCGGGAGCCGCUGCCGCCUGGCCCGCUGGGGCCGCGGGGAACCCGCGCUUGGCCCAGGCGCGCUGCUGGAGGCGGAGCUGUUAGGCGGCUGGUGGUGCCACUGCCUGUACGGCCGCCAGGGGGCGACAGUGCCGCUGCCGGGAGACCCGCCGCACGCGCUCUGCCCUGCCUACCAGGAGGAGGAGGAGGUGGGCAGCUGCUGGAAUGACUCGCGUUGGAGCCUUUUGUGCCAGGAGGAGGGGACCUGGUUUCUGGCUGGAAUCAGAGACUUCCCCAGUGGCUGUCUACGUCCCCGAGCCUUCUUCCCUCUGCAGACCCAUGGCCCAUGGAUCAGCCAUGUGACUCGGGGAGCCUACCUGGAGGACCAGCUAGCCUGGGAUUGGGGCCCUGAUGGGGAGGAGACUGAGACACAGACUUGUCCCCCACACACAGAGCAUGGUGGUGAGCAGGACGCUUUUGGGCCCUAGGGGCUCCUGGGGGUGCACAGACCCAUGGCAGGGGCUCAGGGGUCAGCCAUGGGGCCCCAACUGAGGUGGCCACCUCCUCUCCCUAGCCUGUGGCCUGCGGCUGGAGGCUGCUCCAGUGGGGGUCCUGUGGCCCUGGCUGGCAGAGGUGCAUGUGGCUGGUGAUCGAGUCUGCACUGGGAUCCUCCUGGCCCCAGGCUGGGUCCUGGCAGCCACUCACUGUGUCCUCAGGUGGG